AGACGGACGCACGGGCGAGCGCCGAGGGGACAGGCCGAGCGCGGGGCGCCGGAGGCAGCAGGACCCUCCCGAGGGCCUGACCGUGGAGGUAGCACUGCACACCCACUCCCUGUGGGCCGGAGCCAGGAGACACUUCCUGGGUGUCGGAGCCCAGAAGGAAACCAGUGGCCGGGAAGCACCAGCUGGGUGUGGGACAGGCACUGGCCUCAGACCGGGGCCACACUGAGGUCUGCCCUUCUCCCGCUGGCCGCCACCCAGGACACCAUGAGCCAGUCCGGGGCCGUGAGCUGCUGCCCGGGUGCCACCAAUGGCAGCCUGGGCCGGUCCGACGGUGUGGCCAAGAUGAGCCCCAAGGACCUGUUUGGUGAGUGAGGUUUGAGAACAGGCUGGACGUCACAGGGGAAAAAUGGGCACUGCAUCGAGGUGGGGGACAGCCGCUCCUGCCCCACAGCUGUGCCUGGUCUGGCCCAGGGGAUCUCUGGGUGUCCAGGGAGGCCUCUGGACCCUAAUCAACCUUCCGAAAGCUCCUGGCCACUGGAUCCCCUCCCCCA
rnacentral:sRNA from 1 species